rnacentral:tRNA from 1 species
GGUAGCGCGGCCGAGCGGUCUAAGGCGCUGGUUUAAGGCACCAAUCUCGAAAGAGGCGUGGGUUCGAAUCCCACCGCUGCCA